GGUAGUCCACGCCCUAAACGAUGUCUACUAGUUGUUGGGUCUUAAUUGACUUAGUAACGCAGCUAACGCGUGAAGUAGACCGCCUGGGGAGUACGGUCGCAAGAUUAAAACUCAAAGGAAUUGACGGGGACCCGCACAAGCGGUGGAUGAUGUGGAUUAAUUCGAUGCAACGCGAAAAACCUUACCUACCCUUGACAUGGCAGGAAUCCUGGAGAGAUCUGGGGAGUGCUCGAAAGAGAACCUGCACACAGGUGCUGCAUGGCUGUCGUCAGCUCGUA
rnacentral:rRNA from 1 species